AGAGCAGGCAGUGGGUGUUGCAACCUGGAGGCAAAUAAGUUGCUAGAAAGGUAAUGGCUGAGUUAAAAACCUGCUCGGGUUUUGGCAGAGGAAGGCUUAAGUCAAGUCAGGGCAACGAUGGGAGACUUACAAGAAUCUUCUAAACCUGAAUCUGGCCCUUGAGCUGAAAGAAAGAAUAAUUUCUUAUUGUGGUAGUAAUAUUGAAUUUAGCUUUCUCAGCUCUUUAUUGUGGAAUGACUUCCACAUAGCACUACAGCUGACGUGUAAAGAGAGAGUUUCUGAAUCUCCAUUGCCAGAGAUAUCUGAGAUCUGCCCAGCCAUCUGCUGUACCUCUGAG
rnacentral:lncRNA from 1 species